CCCUCAGUCGCUCAGAUGGUAAAGCGUCUGCUUACAAUGCGGGAGACCCGGGUUCGAUCCCUGGGUGGGGGA
rnacentral:tRNA from 1 species